UUUUUCGUAUUUUUAGGAGAGACGGGGUUUCACCGUGUUAGCCAGGAUGGUCUCGAUUUUUUGACCUCGUGAUCCGCCUGCCUCGGCCUCCCAAAGUGCAGGGAUUACUGGCGUGAGCCGCCGCGCUAGGCCGGCCCCAAACACUUCUUAUUGGCUAAUCUGGAGCAAACCUACACAUCCAUUGGCUGAAAGCUCCGUCUAUUUGAGGGUGACUGAGAGCCUCCCUUCCUUCUGUGUUGCCUGGAAACGGACUGCCGCCUAGUAACAUCUGUUCACGUUUCCCAUUGGUCACCGUUUCCGGAAGCCCGCUCUCCAGUUUCCAGAAGCCCGGCGCACGCUGGGUCUGCAGAUGGCGUCCAGGUGCACAGUGGCAAGUGUGAUUCCGCAGUCUUGGGCUGUUCCGCCAAGCGCCCGCCGGACAUGGGACGCCGGAGGGUCAUCCGCGUGGAGUCCUCGCUUUCAGCGUCCGAGGCUGGGAAAUCGGCUAUCGCUACGGCAGGAACUGGGACUCGGGCUGCGUCCUGGCCCUUCCCUAUCAGUCCACCGGACUCGUGGGCGCGCCCAUUGGUGCUGACAUAAUUUCCUGACCUCUGACCCGUAUUGUCUCGCGAUUAAAGGUCCAGGCACUCCCACUCCUCCUGAGAGAAAUCUACAGCCACAUCCCUGAACAUCAUCAACUGUUGAAAGAACAAUUCCAAAUAUUAAUGUGCUCUGCCAGAUCGGGACACAGGAGAUACUGAAAGACCUGGUGGAUAGAUUUGGUCCUACUGGUUGGAGAAAAGAGGGAUAUCUAGGGAAAGCAUUGGCCUGUUUCACAAUCAUUACUUAUGAUGCUCAAUAGUGAUUCAGCUUCUAGAGGCCACCAACAUUCCUUGACUCAAGGCUCGCUUCAUCUAUCUAGCCAGCAAUGUGGCA